rnacentral:rRNA from 1 species
GACGUAGGGCGCGAGCGUUGUCCGGAUUUAUUGGGCGUAAAGAGCUCGUAGGCGGUUUGUUGCGUCGGCUGUGAAAUCCCGAGGCUCAACCUCGGGUCUGCAGUCGAUACGAGCAAACUAGAGUGUUGCAGGGGAGACUGGAAUUCCUGGUGUAGCGGUGAAAUGCGCAGAUAUCAGGAGGAACACCGGUGGCGAAGGCGGGUCUCUGGGCCGAUACUGACGCUGAGGAGCGAAAGCGUGGGGAGCGAACAGG